GCUCCCUGCUUGGAGGUCAAAAUCAAGGUAUCCCGGGGAAAUGGCAGGGGAAUUUAUGAAGUGAGGAGGCAGCCGCUGUGACAGCUGUCUGCUGGUCCUGCCCCAAUCUCGUUGCCUCGACCCUGAGCCGCCCUGGAGAACGUUCCCCUCAAUGAAGCGAGAUUCUCACCACCAAGUGGGGCCAGUCCCUCGGAUUCCUGGCCCCCGAAAGAGCUCCUGGGAGAUGAUGCUCAGGGCUGCCUGCCCUCCUGCCCUGCAGAGUGGACUCUGUCCAGCAUCAAACUCAUGCUUCCACCCCGCCCUCAGGGAGACCAGAGCAUGAGAAGCUGAUGUUCCUGCGGCUGGGCUGUAUUUGGGCUCCAGCGCCGAUGAGAGGAGGGCGGCAGGCCAGGUCAGAGAGUGCAGAAGGACGAGGCGGGCAGCGGGAUGCACGGGACCCGGCAGUCAC